GAUUUCUCUCAUUUUCAAGUAUGUCCUGGGUAUAUUGUUUAUGUCAGCAGUAUGAGUAUGAUGGAACAGAAAAAAGGUUAUAUCCACAGCAGAUCGAAUGAUCCCUGGGGAAAAAACACUUCUAUUAGUACUUUGCGUGCUGUUUAGAUUCAAUCAUAAAAAGCAUGAUGGAUAAUUAUUUAGCAAAGCAUGCUUGAAAAUGUUCCACGACUAACUAGUGAAAUACCAG